rnacentral:misc_RNA from 1 species
UCAGCAGGUGGCAGAUGGCAUCACCAU